rnacentral:tRNA from 4 species
GGGGCUGUAGCUCAAUUGGGAGAGCGCCUGCUUUGCAAGCAGGAGGUCGUCGGUUCGAUCCCGUCCAGCUCCACCA